rnacentral:rRNA from 1 species
CAGCCGCCGCGGUAAUACGUAGGUGGCGAGCGUUGUCCGGAAUUAUUGGGCGUAAAGGGAGCGCAGGCGGGCGAGUAAGUCUUUCUUAAAAGUGCAGGGCUCAACCCCGCGAGGGGAGAGAAACUACUCAUCUUGAGUGCAGGAGAGGAAAGCGGAAUUCCUAGUGUAGCGGUGAAAUGCGUAGAUAUUAGGAAGAACACCAGUGGCGAAAGCGGCUCUCUGGCUUGUAACUGACGCUGAGGCUCGAAAGCGUGGGGAGCAAACAGGAUUAGAGACCCCCGUAGUCCCUGUCUCUUAUACA